CGGUAACAGGAAGCAGCUUGCUGCUUAGCUGACGAGUGGCGGACGGGUGAGUAAUGUCUGGGAAACUGCCUGAUGGAGGGGGAUAACUACUGGAAACGGUGGCUAAUACCGCAUAACGUCGCAAGACCAAAGAGGGGGACCUUCGGGCCUCUUGCCAUCAGAUGCGCCCAGAUGGGAUUAGCUUGUUGGUGAGGUAACGGCUCACCAAGGCGACGAUCCCUAGCUGGUCUGAGAGGAUGACCAGCCACACUGGAACUGAGACACGGUCCAGACUCCUACGGGAGGCAG
rnacentral:rRNA from 1 species